AUUGAACGCUGGCGGCAGGCUUAACACAUGCAAGUCGAGCGGGGAAAGGUAGCUUGCUACCUGACCUAGCGGCGGACGGGUGAGUAAUGCUUAGGAAUCUGCCUAUUAGUGGGGGACAACAUUCCGAAAGGAAUGCUAAUACCGCAUACGCCCUACGGGGGAAAGCAGGGGAUCUUCGGACCUUGCGCUAAUAGAUGAGCCUAAGUCAGAUUAGCUAGUUGGUGGGGUAAAGGCCUACCAAGGCGACGAUCUGUAGCGGGUCUGAGAGGAUGAUCCGCCACACUGGGACUGAGACACGGCCCAGACUCCUACGGGAGGCAGCAGUGGGGAAUAUUGGACAAUGGGCGAAAGCCUGAUCCAGCCAUGCCGCGUGUGUGAAGAAGGCCUUUUGGUUGUAAAGCACUUUAAGCGAGGAGGAGGCUACUGAGAUUAAUACUCUUGGAUAGUGGACGUUACUCGCAGAAUAAGCACCGGCUAACUCUGUGCCAGCCGCCGCGGUAAUAC
rnacentral:rRNA from 1 species